ensembl:lncRNA
GGGUGUUGUUGUCCUGUUGUCUUUGUCUACUCAGUUCCAGGUUGGAUGGUGUUUUCAAGUUCCAGGUUGGAUGGUGUUUUCAGGUUCCAGGUUGGAUGGUGUUUUCAGUUCCAGGUUGGAUGAUGUUUUCAGGUUCCAGGUUGGAUGGUGUUUUCAGUUCCAGGUUGGAUGGUGUUUUCAGGUUCCAGGUUGGAUGGUGUUUUCAGUUCCAGGUUGGAUGGUGUUUUCAAGUUCCAGGUUGGAUGGUGUUUUCAGGUUCCAGGUUGGAUGGUGUUUUCAGGUUCCAGGUUGGAUGGUGUUUUCAGUUCCAGGUUGGAUGGUGUUUUCAGUUCCAGGUUGGAUGGUGAUUUCAGGUUCCAGGUUGGAUGGUGUUUUCAGUUCCAGGUUGGAUGGUGAUUUCAGGUUCCAGGUUGGAUGGUGAUUUCAGGUUGGAUGGUGUUUUCAGGUUCCAGUUUGGAUGGUGUUUUCAGUUCCAGGUUGGAUGGUGAUUUCAGGUUCCAGGUUAGAUGGUGAUUUCAGGUUUCAGGUUUGAUGGUGUUUUCAGUUCCAGGUUGGAUGGUGUUUUCAGGAUCCAGGUUGGAUGGUGUUUUCAGGUUCCAGGUUGGAUGGUGUUUUCAGGUUUGAUGGUGUUUUCAGGUUCCAGGUUGGAUGGUGAUUUCAGGUUGGAUGGUGUUUUCAGGUUCCAGGUUGGAUGGUGUUUUCAGUUCCAGGUUGGAUGGUGAUUUCAGGUUCCAGGUUGGAUGGUGUUUUCAGUUCCAGGUUGGAUGAGGUUUUCAGUGUUUUCAGGUUUCUGUUGUUUGUUUGUCAGAGCAUUUGCUGUAUAGCUUGGAAAUAAGAUUCUUUGGUAGUAGUUUUGUUUGUAGUUUUGUUUUUUGGAAUGAAGAUUAUGUUGUGGAGGGUAGUAUACUGUAUAUGUUCUUGCCGAAAAAUCCAAGAUGAUCUAACUCUAAAUCUCUAUAUUUUUUAAAAACAUGCUGAACAAUGCAGGAGCUCACAUGCAGCUGUGUCUCUCUCUCUUCAUCUCUCUCCCCGUCUCUCUCUCCGUCUCUCUCUCCGUCUCUCUCUCCGUCUCUCUCUCCCCGUCUCUCUUUCCGUCUCCCCCUCCCCGUCUCUCUCUCUCCCCGUCUCUCUCCCCGUCUCUCUCUCCCCGUCUCUCUCCCCGCCUCUCUCCCCGCCUCUCUCCCCGUCUCGCUCUCCCACUCUCUCUCCCCGUCUCUCUCUCUCUCUGUCUCUCCAUCUCUCUCUCUCUC